CUUACUUCUCUGUCUAUAAACAUCUCGUAAUAAGUUAGUUUUAUAUUUCUAUUAGCUAAACAUAUUUUCGUUGGCCUUCUUGAUAAAGAUAUUUAUGUAACUUUUUUCAGGAAUCAUGAAAAGAGGAAAAAAGAAUCCAAAUUCAUUGAGAUUUAAGAAAACAUGGACUGAAAGAGCACUCCAGUGAGCAUUUUGAUGUUUCUAAGAGCCGAGGCCUCUCCUACCCACUCCCUCAUCUCUCCAAACCUCCAGGAAACCCUGGUGUGCCUGUGAAGUUCUGUCAGGGGUGGUACUGUGGUCAGUAAAAGGCUGGGACAAUGUGGCUGACUGGACACUGACUCACAGAAAGCGUGGCCAGGGAGCUCCACGUGCUGAAGACCAGAAAAGCACUGGCAACCUGUGGGUCAGCGGAGGGGUGUGGAGGCGCAGCUGCAGGGUCACCCUGACUCAGGAGGGGGCAGUGCCACCUUCUUCCUUCCCAAUUUGAUCAAUUUUGUAGAUCCAUAAUAUUCCAACAAUGGACGGAGAAGCCUGGUAGGCUGCAGUCCAUAGGGUCGCUAAGAGUCAGACACGACUGAGUGACUUCACUUUCACUUUUCACUUUCAUGCAUUGGAGAAGGAAAUGGCAACCCACUCCAGUGUUCUUGCCUGGAGAAUCCCAGGGGCGGCGGAGCCUGGUGGGCUGCCGUCUAUGGGGUCGCACAGAAUCGGACACGACUGAUGCGACUUAGCAGCAGCAGCAGCAGCAGCAGCAAUAUUCCAACA
ensembl:lncRNA